GUGCCACCAGCUGAAACUAGAACGACCGAAGAGUCUCAGAUCAUCAGUAUUGCAUCACAGCCAAGCAGUGAGCAAGCUGUGGUUCAUCAAACUGAGAUUAGCUUGCUACCUGUUCAGGAGUAUCGAAGCAGUCAAAGUCUUACUAGUGCUCUUCCAGAAAGCGAAAAUCUGACUAGCAAUGAAGGGGAAGGGGUCACUCCUGUUUCUCAAGUUCAGCCUUCAUCACACUUGCUAGAAUCUAGUGCUAAAAACCUAAGUAGCCUCACACAGGCUAACAGUGUGUUUAAGACCCAUUUGCAAGAGCAGAGCAGUUCUUGCAACACUAGUAGUCAAGUAGAGCAUGCAAGUCUUGGUCAGCUUGACAUCCCUGGUGCCGGAAUGACAGAGGGAUCAAACAAGGAGUCAUCACUAGUUGUUACAUCACAAGUUGCAUCUUUUCAGUCUUCUGACACACAAGACUCAUCUGAAACCAGUGCACCUUUGAAUUCUAGUAGCCAGCAGUGGGAAACUGGCACCAUUUCCAAUAGUGAACAGACAUUGACAGCUGACUCUAGUUUGAGGCCAGAGCAAAGAGAGAAACCUUUGGUUGUUUCUGAGAACAAAGUGGACAAGAGUGGGGAGAACAUCAGCAAAACAGAUUGCCCUCCAGGUACAUCUACUGGUUCAUGUAGAUCAAGCUCUGAAGAAACUACUAAACCACUGCUGAAAACAACCAGUGUCCAAGAGGAUUCAGAAAAGGGUGAUGCAAGAGUGCAAGAUGAAAGUACCUCAAGGUUCUCCAGUGAGCCACUGGUUACAGUUGAUGCUCAACCAGAGAAACACGAGCAAGGCAUUCAAGCAGCUUCAGCAACAACCUUGUCUCGCUGUGCCAGUCCAGAAAGGAUCCCUGAGGAGCCCAUGGAGGUGUCUGAAGAUGUUUUGGACAAGAACCGAAUCACAGAAACGGAUGGGGCAAAAGUCUUAUCCUCAGAUGAAGGUGCAAUAACCCAAGCGUUGUCUGAAAGCAAAGCUGACAUAGAGGCAUCAGACCAGCUUGCUGUUGAGGAGAAGCCUAUGAAAUCAGACCUUCAGGAUAAUGUAGAACAGUGUCAAAGCAGUGCUGCUGUUCAACCUGAUCAUCAAGCAGAGCCUCCCAGUGGUGCAACCUCAGGAAGUUCCUCCCCGAUAUCAGUCGUGGAGAGAGAUUCCGAUUCAUCUGG
ensembl:lncRNA